rnacentral:rRNA from 1 species
GAUGAACGCUAGCGGCAGGCUUAAUACAUGCAAGUCGAACGGGAAUUGGGUAGCAAUACCUGAUGAUAGUGGCGCACGGGUGCGUAACGCGUAUGCAACCUACCUUUAACAGGGGGAUAGCCCGGAGAAAUUCGGAUUAAUACCCCAUAGUAUUAUGGAGAGGCAUCUUUUCAUGAUUAAAGUUCCGGCGGUUAAAGAUGGGCAUGCGUGCCAUUAGCUAGUUGGUGAGGUAACGGCUCACCAAGGCGACGAUGGUUAGGGGUCCUGAGAGGGUUAUCCCCCACACUGGUACUGAGACACGGACCAGACUCCUACGGGAGGCAGCAGUAAGGAUAUGGUCAAUGGGCGGAAGCCUGAACCAGCCAUGCCGCGUGCAGGAAGACGGCCUUAUGGGUUGUAAACUGCUUUUUGUCAGGGAAUAAACCCUCGUUUGCGAACGAGGCUGAAGGUACCUGAAGAAUAAGCAUCGGCUAACUCCGUGCCAGCAGCCGCGGUAAUACGUAG